rnacentral:misc_RNA from 1 species
AAAGUCGUAACAAGGUUUCCGUAGGUGAACCUGCGGAAGGAUCAUUACCGAGUGAAGCGUGUCUCUCAGCAGCGCGCGAUCUCCCAACCCUGUGUUUAUUUGACUUCUUGUUGCUUUGGUGGGCUUGUCCUCUCCGGGGGAACAGUUUGCCCUUCUCCCCUCUUGGGGGGCGUGGGAACCACCAAUGGCCCAAAUCAAAUUCUUGUCCCGAAACGUGUCGUCUAAAACAUUUUUUGAGCAAUCAAAUCAAAACUUUCAACAACGGAUCUCUUGGUUCUG